rnacentral:rRNA from 1 species
UGCUGGAGGUAUCAGAAGUGCGAAUGCUGACAUAAGUAACGAUAAAGCGGGUGAAAAGCCCGCUCGCCGGAAGACCAAGGGUUCCUGUCCAACGUUAAUCGGGGCAGGGUGAGUCGACCCCUAAGGCGAGGCCGAAAGGCGUAGUCGAUGGGAAACGGGUUAAUAUUCCCGUACUUGGUGUUACUGCGAAGGGGGGACGGAGAAGGCUAUGUUGGCCGGGCGACGGUUGUCCCGGUUUAAGCGUGUAGGCUGGUUUUCCAGGCAAAUCCGGAAAAUCAAGGCUGAGGCGUGACGACGAGGCACUACGGUGCUGAAGCAACAAAUGCCCUGCUUCCAGGAAAAGCCUCUAAGCAUCAGGUAACAUCAAAUCGUACCCCAAACCGACACAGGUGGUCAGGUAGAGAAUACCAAGGCGCUUGAGAGAACUCGGGUGAAGGAACUAGGCAAAAUGGUGCCGUAACUUCGGGAGAAGGCACGCUGACACGUAGGUGAAGUGAUUUACUCAUGGAGCUGAAGUCAGUCGAAGAUACCAGCUGGCUGCAACUGUUUAUUAAAAACACAGCACUGUGCAAACACGAAAGUGGACGUAUACGGUGUGACGCCUGCCCGGUGCCGGAAGGUUAAUUGAUGGGGUCAGCGCAAGCGAAGCUCCUGAUCGAAGCCCCGGUAAACGGCGGCCGUAACUAUAACGGUCCUAAGGUAGCGAAAUUCCUUGUCGGGUAAGUUCCGACCUGCACGAAUGGCGUAAUGAUGGCCAGGCUGUCUCCACCCGAGACUCAGUGAAAUUGAACUCGCUGUGAAGAUGCAGUGUACCCGCGGCAAGACGGAAAGACCCCGUGAACCUUUACUAUAGCUUGACACUGAACAUUGAGCCUUGAUGUGUAGGAUAGGUGGGAGGCUUUGAAGCGUGGACGCCAGUCUGCGUGGAGCCGACCUUGAAAUACCACCCUUUAAUGUUUGAUGUUCUAACGUGGACCCGUAAUCCGGGUUGCGGACAGUGUCUGGUGGGUAGUUUGACUGGGGCGGUCUCCUCCUAAAGAGUAACGGAGGAGCACGAAGGUUGGCUAAUCCUGGUCGGACAUCAGGAGGUUAGUGCAAUGGCAUAAGCCAGCUUGACUGCGAGCGUGACGGCGCGAGCAGGUGCGAAAGCAGGUCAUAGUGAUCCGGUGGUUCUGAAUGGAAGGGCCAUCGCUCAACGGAUAAAAGGUACUCCGGGGAUAACAGGCUGAUACCGCCCAAGAGUUCAUAUCGACGGCGGUGUUUGGCACCUCGAUGUCGGCUCAUCACAUCCUGGGGCUGAAGUAGGUCCCAAGGGUAUGGCUGUUCGCCAUUUAAAGUGGUACGCGAGCUGGGUUUAGAACGUCGUGAGACAGUUCGGUCCCUAUCUGCCGUGGGCGCUGGAGAACUGAGGGGGGCUGCUCCUAGUACGAGAGGACCGGAGUGGACGCAUCACUGGUGUUCGGGUUGUCAUGCCAAUGGCACUGCCCGGUAGCUAAAUGCGGAAGAGAUAAGUGCUGAAAGCAUCUAAGCACGAAACUUGCCCCGAGAUGAGUUCUCCCUGAGACUUAGAGUCUCCUGAAGGAACGUUGAAGACGACGACGUUGAUAGGCCGGGUGUGUAAGCGCAGCGAUGCGUUGAGCUAACCGGUACUAAUGAACCGUGAGGCUUAACCUU